UCUCCAACCAUAGCGCCACCUGAGAGCCACUACGGUCCCUCAAAAUGGCCGUCCCUCUCACCUCAGAUCUUCCUGGAACGUCGAAGGAAGCAGGUGGCGAUAUUCAGGUUCGACCUCUCGCGUGGCCGCCUCGGUUGGUGGCGAGACCUCAUUCCAGGUGGCGGACACACGAAAACCGUGCCAGAAAACGUUCGUACGCGACCACGCGUCAAGCUCGAUACGUUAGAACGGGGACCGCAACUGUGCGUCGCAAACGAUUUCCAUCGACGAGACCAGCCGUCGUUCACGACCAGCGUCGAUCCUCGCCUUUCAUCGCCUCGGUUUCACUCGGUUAGAUAUCCGUGAAGCAAGGAUACGUCGCGGCUACCUGCCAGGUGGAUCUGGUUCCUGGAAUUUCUUUCUCUUUGUCCGUUCGUUCGUUCGUUCGUUCGUUCGGCGGAAGACACGGUGCGCGCGCGGACACGAGGUGAUCAUCGACACCUGGUGAUUUCAAUGCUUGGUACGGGCGCGACGAGAGGAGGACGACGGAUGCCCGUGGCGUGAUAUCGUGCGCGAUUAUUUUCCUGAGUGUCUUCGAUCCCUGAUAAUAGGCGUAGCGUAGAAAAGUAAAUCGGUGCUCGGAAACCGGUGGAGAGAGAUGUUCCUCGAGCUGCAUCGGGACGAGUGUCGAGGUUUCUCGUGGACCAAGCUGGUGGACAUGGAAGCAUGAGAACGGCGCACUCAGUGUCUUCCACAUCGAGGCGCAGCUGAGGGAAGAGCAAGAAGAAGCAAGCACAAGAGAAACGGAAGUUAAACAGGAGGAUCCCGAUCGAGGAGGAGGACGAUGUAUCGGCCGAACUUUUACGAGAGCACGUGUCUGAGGUGCUCUCAGACCGUGUACCAGGUGGACAGGGUUGGCCCAUUGAAGGAUUUCACCUUCUUUCACGCGGGUUGCUUCAAGUGCGCUAUAUGCGGCACCAAGCUGACCCUGAAGACCUACUACAACAACCAGCACACGAUCAAUGAUAAAGAGGUGUACUGUAGUAGCCACGUCCCGAAACCGGGGCCGGGAACGUUGGACGGGUCCAGCGUGGGCAUCAGGUCCGCGUUGAACGUGCCAAGAAGUGGUUACGUCAACGAGCAGAUCAGAGCCGGCGGCGCGUCGCCACGGGGUGUUUAUCCACCAUGUUACGAUAAUGUAGACUCGCCUAAUUGUGCCAGGCACCUGAACGGACACGGUUCACCGCCGGCCACCAAUUCGUCCCAUCGUGAUCUUCAUGGUAACUCCGGUGGAGGGGCGUCCUCGCCUUACAACUAUAAUUAUUCCGGGGACGGGAGCUACCAGUAUGGGAGAUUCGACGCGAGCGCGCUUCACAUCGCCCAUGCCCUUAAGCAGACCGAGCUCCAGAAGGGCUACAGCAAGGCACGCGAGAAGCCCAUCGAUUAUUAUCUGGAUCGGGAUGAGCAAACGCGAUUGGAGAUGAAACAUCGUAAAGAAGAGGAUGACCUCUAUCGAAAAUUCGCUCACCAUCGCGAGGAGGAGGACAGACGAAUUCGAGAGGAAUUCAGGGAUGAAUGGGAGAAGGAGCUGGAACAAUUAUCGGCGAGAUGGGAACGAGAAAAAGGCGGAAGAGCCCGAGCCCAGCAAUUUCAACAGGAGAAAGAGGACUUGGAGAAGAACAUGACUCUUCGCAGGGACAAGAAGAAGGAAAGUCUCACGCGCAAAAUGUUGGAGCACGAACGGGCGGCGACCGCGGCGCUGGUGGAGAAACAGAGCUCGGAGAUGUUGGAGCUGAUCAACGAGGCGAGGAGCGAGUAUAUGCGCCAGGAGAGCUUGUAUCUCGACGAGGGGGACGGUUAUGCCCAGGAAGCGCCGCCUUUGCCUUAUCCGUCGCGUGCUCCACCCCCACAACCCCCAGCCCUCGCCAAGUAUCACAUCUACAAUGAUCCUCUCGAGUUUGCCGACAUGGAUCAGAUAGCUAUUUCGGUGGCUCAAGAGGAUCAGAAAACGUUCACUGAUCUGGUACGGCAGUUGGUGAGCAGAUGCGGAUCGGAUAUAGAAAAAGCUAGGACGAUAUUCCGAUGGAUCACCGUGAAGAAUCUAAACACGAUGCAGUUCGACGAGAAUUUACGCGGGGACACGCCUAUGGGCUUGUUGAGAGGAAUAAAACACGGGACUGAAAGUUACCACGUUCUGUUCAAACGAUUGUGCAGUUAUGCUGGAUUGCAUUGCGUGGUGAUAAAGGGUUACAGCAAAUCGGCCGGCUAUCAGCCGGGGGUUUGCUUCGAGGACAAUCGAUUCCGGAACAGUUGGAACGCCGUUUACGUGGCUGGCGCGUGGAGAUUCGUUCAAUGCAAUUGGGGGGCAAGACAUCUGGUCAAUGCCAAAGAAGUUCCUCGUCCUGGCCAACCGAAGGCCAAGAACGAUAGUCUGAGAUACGAAUACGACGAUCAUUACUUCCUCACGGACCCGCGAGAAUUCAUCUACGAAUUCUUCCCCCUUCAAGAGGAGUGGCAAUUGCUCAAGCAACCGAUUUCCCUCAAAGAUUUCGAGGAGCUGCCUUUCGUGCGCUCGUUGUUCUUCAGGUACGGUCUCUACUUUCCGGAUACGAACACGAACGCAGUCAUGUACACGGAUUCUACAGGUGCUGCGACCGUGAGGAUAGCCAUGCCAGCUCACAUGCAAUCGUCCCUAAUUUUCCAUUACAACUUGAAAUUCUACGACAACGAUGGGGACGGUUACGACGGCGUGUCGUUGAAACGUUUCGUCAUGCAGUCCGUCGUCGGGAAUAUCGUCGCGUUCCGUGUUCACGCGCCCUGCUCGGGGGCUUUCCUCCUGGAUAUAUUUGCCAACGCUGUCACGCCGAAGGAAUACUUAACCGGGGAGCCGAUGAAGUUCAAGAGCGUGUGCAAAUUCAAAAUCGCUUGCGAGGAAUUGCAGACGGUGAUGGUGCCGUUGCCCGAUUGCGCGAGUGGCGAAUGGGGCCCUACGAAAGCCACCAGACUUUUCGGUCUCAUACCAAUAACCCAUCAGGAGGCAUUGGUGUUCGCUGGCCGCGAGUUGGAAAUCCAAUUUCGAAUGUCGAGAUCGCUGACCGACUUCAUGGCGACACUGCACAAAAAUGGUAUCGAGGAAAAACGGUUGUCCAAAUACGUCACGCAUUCAAUCGCCGACGACGACGUGGUGACUUUCUCGAUCAGCUUUCCAGAGGAGGGCCAGUAUGGGCUUGAUAUUUAUACAAGGGAAUCGACCAAUCCGACAAACGUGCCGCAUGACAUCACCGGUGAAAAACACUUGCUCACUCAUUGCUGCAAGUAUCUGAUUAACUCGAGCAAGAGGAACUAGCCAGGAGUUCAUCAUUUCGUAUUUUCAUAUAUAUAUAUAUAUAUAUAUAUAUAUAUAUAUAUAUAUAUAUAUAUAUACAGUACACGUAGAGAUAUAACGAUUUCGCUGGCUCGAUUCGAAGAAACAUCGCGUGAGAGAUUGGCUCGAUGUGAUUUCAGAAAAAAAAAAAGGUGCUGCAAGUUCUCUUACCAUCCAAGCUCCUUCCUAUUUCCUCUUUCUCUUCUUGUUUUCUUCUCAUCGCGGGAUAUGGGGAACUCGGAUGUGUAAGAACUAAUCUUCGAGAUUAGCCUUUACUUGCCAGUAAAUUAUCCAUUAAUUAAUCAAGAGUUAAUCAAGAUGUGACGAAAGAUGAUGUUCACGAUGAUAGUACAACUGGAGGAAACGGAGGUGAAAGUACAACUGGUACUUCUUCGGACUGUAACUGAAUGCGAUGCGAGAAACUUUUGACAAAUGUCGUCCAGAUGUGCGAGAACGAAUUACGAUCUUUGACGCGCUACCUCCACAUUCUUUCUAGUUUAAUAAUAAUAACCACGAGCUUAUUGUUCAAAGAUGAUCAUCGAACGAGACACGUCUAACGUUUGAAGAAUUAUGCCGCGCAUCGUAAGGAUACGAUGUGGAAAAGAUGUAACGAGCAUAAAAUAAGCUCCGUUUAAUAGGAUAAGCUCUAUUUUUAAUAGGAUCAUACUCACACUCACACACGCCGAUUUUCUCUUUUAAUUUUCACGACCGAACCACCGUGUCGUCCCUCGUAUUUCCGCUAGAAAGUUGGCAAUUAUAAGUUAACCAGCAUUGGAGAUCGGUCUCACCGAUCUCCAAAUUAAUCAAACUUUCUCGCCUCGACGAGAGGCAUUAAUCCCCAGUUAUCUCGAUUUGUUUUAAUUCAAUCUCGAGAAUCUCGUGCGUUUCAUUUUACUUCGUUAAGCGAGGUGUUCUCGUGUAUGUAUAAAUUAUGCACAGAGGAUCGUUUCGAUCCGCUUUAUCGAUCGAUCUUCGAUAAGAUCUUCGAUUGCAAACGAAAUCGACGAAGAAAGUUUCCAAGGAUGGAACGCGUAUUUUGUUCCCAAGUCUUCUAUGUUCUCUUUGUAUUUUAACGAUGAUAUAUAUAUAUAUAUAUAUAUAUAUAUAAAAUAAAUUCCUUCUUUUCUUCUCGCGAACGACAAUCACCGCUGUCAAAUGAACGAGCAAUUAUUUCGAUUGUCUCUCGAAAACAUCGUGGAUAUACAUCGUGGUGAUGUUCCAUUCCAAUAAUUAAAUUAGGUUCGUUAAAGCAUAGAAAGCUUUUUAAAAUCAUUAAAUUUUUGCGGCUACGGUGGUUCUCGAAGUUCAGGUGCUAUAUGUUAUUUUGUCAGGAUUAGUUGCACGAUUCUAGUUAUUUUCGUAUGCGAGAGGCGUGGAAACGCUGAAACUUUUUCCAAUGGGAAGUUACAGCGGUGAAAGCUAACUGUAAUUGUUAAUUUUUGUAAUAUUAACGUCUUUUUCCUUUUCCCUCUUCUCUCUGUUUCUUCUAAUUCAAAGUUAUAACGACGCUUAUGCAAGAAAGUUCUCCACGAUUCCGUAUUUUUUGUUACCGGUGGAAUAAACUGUAACUUCGAGCUUAAUAUAUCCUUUCUCAUUAUUUCUAACGAGUAUGUAAAUUAAUUUUUAUACAUACUACAGAUACGCAAUAGAGAUUAUUGUUUUAUUGUAAAAAAAGAAAUUAAUAAAAUCUAAUUUUAUGGAAAUCCCGAUUUAUCUGGCGCAAAUGUAACGUAUAAUUAUUCUAUCUAUUCAAUUAUUUAUUAAUAUAUUUAUAUUUAACUUUUUAAUUAAUUAAAUAAUUAAUUUACAUUCAUAAAUGUUCUAGUUACUUUUCGUAUUGGUAAUGAUUUCCCGCCUAAUCUUUUGCGCAAGAACUUCACGAUUCCGCUUGAAGGUGGCAGCACAGUCUUCGUUUCCUGUUUCGUUCUGACGUGCCGGAGCCCGCGAUCUAAUUAAGUGCGACGAAGUAAACGUCGAUGUGCUGUGAAAAUACUUUAAACUGUGUCAUAUUGAAGACAAACUCCAAGUUUAAUUCGCUAAAGUGGAAAACUAGUGGUUCCAAGUGGCUGACACGACAUUCAAGACGAAGUUGAAAGCGUCGUCAACGAGCCACGACGAAACCGAGAGUUGUACAAGCCGGUACGAAAGAUAUAAACAAUCCCCACCACGCGUCUCCUUGAAUAAUCUCCGAAUAUAUCAGUCUUAAUUCGACUUCGAACGCGAUAACAUCGGGCUCCGAACCAAAACAAAUGGAGAAAUUGCGACGAAUCUCGAGGAUCCGUUCUCGAAGAAGGACAGCUUCGGAGAUUGGAGAUAUUUUUCGAAAGUCAUCGUCGCAUCACGCAUCUUGAAUCAUCGAGUUAUUCUGUUAUUAAGUGGCCAUUCUAUGACCCUCCUCUCGCAUACCUUAUUAGGACUGAUUACACCAUAACGGCCGUCAACUCAAUUCCCAGCUGUGGUCUUCUCGUCGCUUCGAAAUUCUGACGAGUCGUAAAAAAAGAAAAGAAAAGAAAGAGAAGAAAGUGCAGCGUAACAGGCAAAGAGUGGGGAAGGGGAAGGGGAGAAGGGUGGAUCUUAUCGUGUUUUCGAAGGAAAGGUGUGAAACGUUUGUCCCAUGGAAGGUGUCAUCCAUGUUCCGUGUAUGUUGGAAGCCGGAUUAUCGGGGCACCGUUUAACCGAUUAUCCGUGCCUCAUUUAUCUGAAUGCCUCGAAAAACGUGUUUAUGUGUGCGAUAGGGAUGGAGGAGACGGCUGCUUCGAAGGUAAGGGUCUCGAAGGUGGUGUAGAAAUGCACGGGAUUUAACGAAAUUAUUCUGAAUUGGACUCUUGUUAUGUAAUUUUAGAUUCAGCUUUUUAGAUCAGUAUUUUGGAAGAUUUAGAAGAAUAUAGAUUUUUUUCUAAAUCUUAUUCGUAAAAAAAUUUUUCAAAAUUUGCUAAUUUUUAGUAAAUCUGGCGAAUUAUUUUUAAAUUAGAAGGAAGAAUUUUUAUUUUCUCGAUUAAAAAUAAUCGGAAAUUUUUCUCGAAAGAUUUAAAUUAGGUUAUUUUCAUCGACUUUAGAUCUAUAUGUACUAUAAAAUAGUACAAUAUCACAUUUACGUCACGGAUUAAAUUACGAGGCGAGACUGUAAAAUUGAUCGCGUUAUUUAAAUUAUAUUACAAAACGUAUGUAACAUAUAUAUAUAUAUAUUUUCAAAACAGUUUGUGUAUUCGUUAUACGCGAAUAUAUUAGUUAUACACGCGUUAUUCGCUGCAUUAGCAGGAUGCGAAACGGUAAAUAACUCCAUGGGAAUAAUUACAAUAAAAGGGAAACGAGUACACAAACUGAAUCCUCAAGAGGAUCGUACAAUUACAAAAUGCAUUCGACGUAACGCAGUGUGUAAAACGCUCUUUAUUCGCGAGCCUCCCGCUGCGGAUCGGGUCCAUCGAGACCGCAUUAAUCUUCCCUUGAAUAACAAGUUUUUGCGCGGUUUUAAACGUGUAACAAUUCUCGUCGUCCCUCGAAAAAGUCCCCGUGAAAAAUUUGCAAUCUCAUCUCACUCUCGGUGACUGCGAUCGAAUCGAAUGGAAAUACUUGCUCGAUAUAAAAAGGGAGAAAAGGGCUUUCUCCGAGAAAAUAAUCGAAACGAAACGACGCGUUUAAUUCGGUGAAAGCAUUUCGAUAAAUUACGAUAAAUAUCAGCAGUAGGCCUCGGGUGACGCAAGUCGAAAGCUUGGAGAUAAAAAAAUUGGAUUGCAACCCUCGAAUCUAUUCAACGAGGAGGGGGAGAGGAAAAAAUCGAUAUUGAAUAUAAAUAAGAGGUGUGCCGCGAUUUUAAUAACGGGUGCAAAAUUUUAACAUUAGAUUUUCACGGGAAAAUAAUUGUCAAAAUUUUUAGAUUAAACUUGUUACGGUUUUUAUUAGGAUCACACUCUUAGGGAAUGUGUUAUUAUGCUCGGGCAAAAUUUCAAUCAUCCUAAUCGAACGAUAAUUCACUUAACGCGUAUCGAUAUAUUCACACGAAUGCUAAUGCAUUAUGAUUAGACAUCUGUCGAUAUUUUUUUCGCCCUUCCAAACGAUCGCAUUGAAUAUUUGAAUAUUUCCAGAGGGGGAGAGGGGUUGGUCGAAAUUAGGUCGUAUUUCACGCGGAAAUAAUUUGGUUAAUAAUUAGAAAACGACGGGCAUGAUUUUAAUACGCGAAAUGAUUGGUCACGGUUUUAAUAUUCAAUCGAAAUACGAAUGAAAAGGUUCAAAAAUAGAUUUUUUUUUAAAGCGUUACACGCAAACGGAUAUAUCGCUAUAACAUUUUCUUUUUAUAAGCGGGUAAAUGUUUUCAUAAAGCAAUUUAUCCUUUUGGCAAAAAUAUUUCACGAGGGAGAUAAUCAUUUCGAAUUUCCCUGAUUUAUCAUACUUUUCUUUGUUGAUGGCGUUGUAUAAUCGCGGGAGUGGCGAAUGAUAGUGAUGUUUUUCUGGAUUUUGCAUGUAUAUAUAAGGUGUUUCGUUAUUCGCGAGUAAUUUCUCGUGAAAGAGUAAAUUGAACAAGAGGAAUAGAAUUUUUUCGUGUAAAAGUUCGGAAAUUUUUCAAGCGCAAGUGAAAUUCGCUAUUUUGUAUUCUCCAAAUUUUUUCAAUCCCUUUCAUCAAUCGACUCAGAUUCUCGUCGUUUCGCAUCUUUUGUCAGAAGGAGAAAUAACGAAAAAAAUCCCGAAAAACUUGGAAAAUAACUAGAUUUGCAGGAAAAACCUCGUAGUAAAUAUUCUUUCUUUUCGAUCUGCUUCUUUAUUAGAAAUCAUCCCUUAUUCAACGCGUGUCAUGAAUAAUGGAACACCCUAUAUACCUGUGUAUACUCGAGCAUACGUUCGAAGGGAAUAGAGGGAGCGUUAAUAAAGAUGAGUGACGACGUUUAAUUAGUAUUACUCGGAAAGAUAGCUCGACACGUUAAUCGAGAGAGCAGUCGAAUGUCACGAGGAAUAUUUCGAGCAGGGAGCGCGUUAGAACGUGGCAGAUUUUAUAUCUCCUUUGACGAUUUACUAUUUAAAAAGAUCUCGUAGAUUUUAAUUAACCUGUGGCUCUCUCUCCAAAAUUCCUUCUGACCUUCCUCGAAACAAGCUUAUCCCAUAAGAAGUGGAAUCGUUAUCGCGAGAGGGAGCGAAAAAUCCUUAGAAUUAUCAAUAAAAAAGAAAAAACUCGGCAAAAGAAUCAAGCUGGUAAAGAAAUUCCCAUUGAAAGUUCGUUUCACCCGUUUAAAAGUUGCACUCGAUGAACGAUUAAACGGAGAAGAAAGGAAGAAAGAGGAGAGAAGGAACAUGAGUAAAACAAGGGAACAAAAGGAGAGGGAAGGUCGAGUGGGGAGAAGGAAAAACGGUGACGACGCUUAAUUCGCAGGAAGGCCACUUAUUAGCCGUAGACGCCUUCCAUCCCGGAGUGCACUCGUGAAUGUCGCGACUAUCGUUCCAAUUGUCGAAGACAAAGGGGCGGUGAAGGGGUGGGCACGGAGGUAAAGGGCGCGCGCUUCGAUGCUCUUGGAAUGAAACGGACCAUUUGGCAAGGGUGAGAGGAGGGCGAAGGGGAUAAAUAUGCAAGAGCGCCUCUGGGCUCGAGGCAAAAGGGGAGGAAGUUGGAUGUAUACAGGGUGGCACGUAACAGGGUGAUAUAAACGUAUGGCGGUAAGAGAAACGUGGGAAACGUUAAGAUUUCGAUUUCUGCGAGAAAAUGUUCAAGUGGAAUAAUUAAUUAAAGUUGAGAGCAGGAUGGAAAACAAGUUUUAUUUUUAAUCAAUUAUUUUUCGAGAAGAUUUAAUUUCAAUCCCUGAUAAAUUUCACGCGUGGAUAAAUAUCGUUUACAGUUCGUUUCCCAUCCCAACCACGAGUUGCCCUAUUUCAUCAAUACUUGAAAAUAUUUUCAAACUUGAAAUUCGCAAGCUCCAACUUUUCUUCAACUUGUCCCCUUCGCACGUUCAAAUUAUAUACUUGAUCAAUUGUCAUCAAUUACGUGACGUUACUCUACAAACGUAGACGCAGAAUGGAAACAGAAGACGGAAGCGGAACUAACUUCGAGAGGUUUUGUGCUCCCUGCACAAUUGUGUUAUUCCAGGCGACUACUAACUUUCCCCUUUCCCUUCCACACGCGAAAAUAUUACAUUCUUCGAGAUGAGGGGUCGAAGAGGGGGAUGGAAAUCUGGAGCGAAAUUUCCUUCGAUUCCCAACUCUCGUCUAAUUUAUUAUCGGCGAAUUGCGUAAUGGGAGGAGAGCUUCAAUUAUAUCUCGUUGGAGGGAGAGGUUGAAAAGCUUGUAAAUACGAAAUUUUCGGGGGACGAGAGAGGGUGUGGUAUGACGUUAUUUCGCGAAAAUUCUGUGAAAUUAUCGUGCAAUUUGGUGGAAUUUGGCGAGGGCGCAUCCCGGAGAACGGGGAUGGAAAUUCUUAACGUGCCGUCGUAAGAACACGUAUCGUUUUCAAUAUCGCGAACCGUUUUUCGUCGAUCGUUUUUCAUUUGACCGUGCCGCUGGACAUGUAAUAUCCCGUCCCUCGAUAAUUAAAUUUCCUUGGAAAUUAUCGAAUGUGGAUAAUAAAAUGGUGGGGGGAAUUCGAGGAAGGGUUGGCAGGAAAUAAACUCACCCUGGGGCACGGGUAGAUUGCUCGUGGAUAGCUCGGAAAAAUUCUAUACUUCGUCUUCUCGAUUCGAGAAAUAUUCGAGAUAAAUUUCCAGUUUAUUAGAUGUACUCUUUUUUUUCGUUUCCUUUGAUUGUUAAAAGUUUUAUUUUUUUCAAACAGAUUAUCUUGCGAUUUUGAACAACACCUAUUCAAUAUUCCCUUCCAUCCUUAAUCUUAAUAUCUCGUCGGAACCGCUUUAAAAAUAUCCAUCCAAGAUUCGAUCUUGACGGAAAUAGGAAGCAAAAGAAGAAAAUUAAGAAAUUAAAAAAUGGAAGGUCUAAACACUCAUCAACGAGGAACGAUUCGAUGGAGGUAGGCGUGCUCUAGUGGGCGAAAACAAAAACAUCGUUUCGAAUAAAUUGGGAACGAUAACUUUUCUCCAAUGGAAUCACCGAAAUUCCAUUCGGACAAGGAAGCUCGUGUAAAAGCGGAGAGAAAAAGGUUGCGCAGAGCCGGUGGAUCGUCCACUCUCGAGGAGGAGGAUCCUUGUGAAGUGAAUGGAAGCCGAAAAGCCGGGUGGCGGCGCAAACCCCUAUAACCCCGUGUCUAAUCCGAGUUCGUCUCGCUCGCUCACGGGCCAUCUCCCACGGAGUUUGUCCUUUUGCCCGUUCAUAGCAAGAACAGACAGAAGAGAUUCGAGUCACCGGCAGAUCGGUGGAGCAGUCAGUUUCCAGGAUCGAACGUUUCCUCGCGAUCGAACAGCUGCUCUUCUUCGACCACUCUUCUUACUUACACCCUCUCCUAUCUUUCCAAUCCUAUUUUCCUUCAAUAUUACAAAUAUUCGCAUGCCUGGAAUUAUCGACGACUGUUCGUUUCUCCAAGUUUAACCAGUUGAAUAAUUGAACUUUCGAGCUUCGAGUUUGUAUUAUCUAAAAUCUUCCUUAUUGCGUCCCUAUCCAUAAACAGUAAUUCUGUUCCACAUCGAUUCCAGUAGAAAUUAAAUUGAAUGUAGCUCGCGCGAAUGAUUUCUUCAAAUCACUCUUCCUCCCUGCAUUGUUCUAAUUAUCAUCGCGCAACAUAUCACGAACUUUCUCCUUGUACAUUGUGCAUUGUAUUCGUGAGUGUCAAAACCUCGAUUACAAAUUCCUCGGUGUUAUCGAGGGGCAAACUCGUUGUUCCUCUCCCCCGAAUUUCCGCGUAAAAAUUUCCUUUGCUCGAGGCUGGAUGGAGGUCGGCCACGUUUAUAAUCGGGUUCUCGAUUUCAUUACAUCGGAGGCGCGACUCGAGGUUUUUUGUCCUCGAAACAGCUCCGCAAAAAUGUAUUCCCCGGCACGUUUUCUAUCCGAGAAUUUUCGAACUGGGAGAAGGGGAGGGGGGAGAGACGAGGAGAGAAGGUCUUUCUAAUAAGACAGUCCUUUAAUAAGCGAUCCGGCGUGUGCCAUCUAAUUUGCGUUAUCAGGCCCGUCUCGUUAGCAGUUGUGCUCCCCCUCCCUUCCUCCCCCUUGUUCCCGUGGAAUAAUUAAAACCCUGCGACGUGACGCGACGAAACGCGGAAUCUCUGACGCUGGGAACUGGGGCUGUUGGAGAAUCUGGAGAAAAGAGUCGCUUCGAGUAAGAAUAACGAUAAUAAUGAGAAAAGGAGGAAAGAGUAUAAACCGUCCUCUUUUUAUUUCGUUUUCAUCACCGAUCGAUAUUCGUUUGGAUAAUAGAAAUCGAAUGAACGAAAAACUGGGGAUCAGAAAUGUUCAAUGUAUCUUCGUGUUGCAAAGUAGUAUCCCUAUUCCUCUCGUCCCUUCUCGAGGUUUUUAUUAAUUUUCGAUACGUUUGCGUCGCGACGCGAGAAAGAUUUCGAAAUCGCAGCUUUCGCGAACGCGCACAGUCACUCUGUGGGAAAAACGUGGAACGAUUCGUCAGGGAUCGAAGGGAACACGUGUUCCUCUCCGUGACCAAUUUAACCGGAUACCGGAGGCCUGCCUAUACUUCCACGAACCACCACCACCCUCUUAUCCACCCGGUAGCGUGAAGGAAGGAACGUCAGUUGCACGCAUGCAUCUGGAUCAUUGUCGGCCUUAGAAGGCCUGCGGAGGUGGAAAUCGCUUCGAAAUUCGGGCACCGUGACAGCGUUUCGUCGACCGGCAACAUCGGAUGGAACGGAUCCACCUAUUGAAGUUGCACGCUUUGGCUCGACACGCUGGAUAAGCGAAGGGAACAGGAGACCAACCACGAUCCUGUUGGCCGUGAAUAGUCGCCGUAGGAGAUGAAAAUGCGAGGAAGGAUCCGUCGGUGGGGGAAAGGGAGGCUAUGGCCGGGCGGCACGCGCAUCGACGCGUAUCGACGACUCGGAAAAACCGCGGCAAUCUAGGGGAUUGCUCGUGGAAUCGGUUUAAGAAGCGGGUGCAGAGCCCUCUCCGAUUUCCUGGUGUUCUUGCGCGGCGACGUGCUGCUUUGGGUGCUGCUAAGGAACGGCAGGGAUAAACGGCAGAGCAGAAGUAAGUUUAGGCUGGUGAUUGUAAAAGAAAAGAAUCGUCGGUGGGUCAUUAUCUUGGGGAAAUGUGUAAAAUUGCGUAGUUGCGGUUUUACGGGGAUGGAAUACGCGUGAUCCUAUAUCCUCGUAUAUAUAACAAGAUCGAAAUUUAAUUGAGAAAACCAUAAUAAUAAUAAUAAUAAUAAUGCAAGCGUAAGAUAUUUACAAUUAUGUUGAUCCAGGCUUGUCAAAAAUUAUCGACGACUAAUUCCUUCCUCCAAAAUAUUAUCUCGAUUUCCUUCUACAAUAACCUUCGAUUCAGGGAAAGAAAAAGAACGUUGGAAUAUAUUAAAUCCGUAAUAAUUUCAACUACCUUACCAAUGAUGGAGGACAAAGAGCGAAGGGAAGGAGGACCGCUCCUCUCUUCUCCGCGACCAAAUGACCAUCUCCAUAAAAAAAUACUAUUACGGUUUCGAAAUCGAACCCGAGGAAGGAAGAGAGAAGGAAAAGGAAAGAAAAGAAAAAAAGAAUGAGAUUGGAAAAGGGAAUAAUCGAGGGUCAGGCGGCCGUUAAAAAUGGCCCGCGCGCAAAGUGCAGAGAGCGUGCAAUGGGUAAACGGGUGGAGGAUCGUGCAAAUACGAGGGAGAAAGGGGGGAGAGAGUCGUUAGGUGCCCGGGGCCAGGGCCGCCAUAUUUUAUUACUUAAACGGCAUGCCGGGUAGGUUGUUUGUUGGUUAAACAAGGAAUUAAUGCCGCGGUAAUCUGUCAUUAUGGGAUACUCGUGCAGGAGGACCAACCCUCGUAGUUGCAUGCUCUCCUCCUCCUCUCUCUUCUCCCUCUCUGUUUUGCUCUGCUCCGCAUAAUUUCCAAUUGGUUCCCUCGAGAAGGAGAGAGAAAGAGAGAGAGAGAGGGGGGAAAAAUGAAAGAGAGGAUCGAAGGAGGAAUCGCACACGUCGAUCACGCUAUACGCGCACCGAGUGUGGCGAUCCAUAGUCGAAAAUGCCAAUCGAAUGAAUAAUAGACGAAGAAUCAAUGUUCCGGAUCCUAACCUCGAGUUUUCGUCCGGUUUAGCAGGUAACCCUCGGCGUAUCGCUUCCGCUAACUUUCCGAUCGAUCUCGCUGCGGACGCCAACGGAAAUUGCUACUGCUUUUUAGCCGUGAAUUUUGCUCUAUGAAUUCGCAAUUUCUCUCUUCUUUCUUCCUCUGCCUGGAUGAACGCGUGUCGCGCAAACUUUCUCUCCUUACGUUCGAUAUCGCGAUCAUUUAAACGAUUAAACAAUUUUGUUGCUUAGUUAAUUAUUAUUGUAUCAUUGAAAAAAGAGAAGCAGGAUUUAGACGAUAUAUUAUACAAAAAGUGUAUUGAGUACACUUAAAAGAAUAAGACUGCCAGGAACAGCAAUCAAUUUCAAUUGUUUGAUAAAAAUUUUCCGAAUAAACGAGCGCAAAACGUACAACAAGCGAAAGCGCACUUGGCGUGCAUCGUCGAUAGAGAAUUGAAUAAGCGUGAAGAGCCUCCAUAUCUAUAUAUAUAUAUAUGGAAUAGCCGAUUAUUAUCGCGAUAUAACAGCCGUGGAGAAGUCUGAUAAUUGGCGGGAGGAAGCGUAAUCACGGCGUUAACACCGCUUUCGACAAAUACCAGCGAAUUUGCGAUUCAUUCACCGAUCGAUUUUUUCGUCGCUUCGAUUCGGUCCCCAUAUAAUUAGUAGCAGUUACCAGUUACCAGCAUCGUGGCGUUUGAUCGACGUGCCGCGCUCUAACCUCUCGCGAUGAUGCAAGAAAAUUUUAAAGGGCUCUCGAAGCUUCGAAAAAACAGUUUUAGAAGUUUGGCACCGCCGAUCACGAUGUUUAAGAUUCCUUAAGUACGUACACAUGUCGAACCGGGUCUAAGUGGCGGCAGUGAGUGUGUUUACUUGUACACGAACACAGGGGUGACGACGAUGUUGGGGGAAGAAUGAUGUGUGGUGAACGAGAGAUUUAGAACGAGAGAUUUAGACCGUUGAGGGGGAGGCUCUCUGGAGAGGUUUGAGAGAAAGAGAGAGGGAGAGAGACGCUUCUCCGUGGCGCAAAGUGCUUGAAAAGAUUCGUCUUUACUUAUCGUUACUUAUCUCGUCGCCAUUGAUUUAUUGCCACGGAUCCAUUAAUCCAGAAGAAUUCGUGAUAUAUUUAGAGAUUGGACAAUACGGUGGAAUUUUUACACUUGGAAAAUAAACGAAACGAUUCUAUACGUGAAAUGUGUACAUUUUAUUUUAUUUAAAAAAAACUCUUCUUUUACAACUCUUCUUUGACACCGAACUUUAUACCGAAUUUAUCGAAUCUUGCUCCUCCUUCUCAUUCACACAUUUGAAAAUCGUUCUAAUCCUUCUAAACUUUCCCUACGUAAAAUGUAAAAUGUAAAACCCUGCCGAUAUUUCUCAAACGAUUGCCAACUUUCUCUUUGGCGUCAUCGACGGUGACACGCGACGAGUGUCACUGUCAAAACGUCGCACGUGUUGGAAUUAAGACGCUCGUCGAACGUUUAGAAAACGUUUCUUUGGAAAAACAACAAAAAUGGACAACAAAAAUCGGCGUGGAACACGACGUUGGGAACGUCACCAAAAAUAAUGGAGGCUCCCUCGGGGCAGAGGGCGUUAACGGGAGGAUCGAGCGGCUGAUUGCAGCGAACAAGCGUGUGCACACGGCUGCCCUCUAAAUGCAGGAAAUAAUGCAUUUCGUGAGCCAGUCAAUCGGUCAUCUUAUUACCAACCGAGACGAUGAGCGGGUAUGACGAAGGUGGUCGGAUCAUCGGGACCAGACAAUUUAAUUGUUCGAACUUAAAUGGGGAGCAGCUGCCUCCUGGUGGCCUAACAAGCUGGUAAUAACCUACCUCCUAACCUAUUCCUCUCUUCGUCCGAUCCUCUCCACCUUGUUCGUGGAUCCUCGUUUAGAGGUACGGUUAAAGGAAGGAUAUUAAACGUUCAAGCUUAUUUAUUUGAAAGCGAAUUCAUCGACGAAUAUUAUUUUCCGGCCUUUUCCUCUCUCUUUUUUUGGUUAAUUUUUGGAAAGGCAAUUUUCGAUUAUUGAAAUUAGAAAUUGCUUGGGCGGAAUUUUGAUUUUUAAAUUUUUAAAUAGGUGGAAUAAUUGGAAUAAUUGAGUGGGGAUACGGUUAUGAUUGAUCGAAUUGUGAAAAAUUUAUAUCGAUAAUUAGAGUUGGAGCAAGAUUAAUAUUUAAUAAGGAUGUGUUUAACAAUCUUGAAAAAUUUCGUACAAAUAUAAAGGAAAGAUUAUAUAGGAAAGUGGUUGUAAUGAUCGAGUAAUAAUAGGUGAGAGAGUGGGGAAGGAGGAAUGGAAGAAAGAAAAGUAAAUAUUAAACCGGGAAACGUGAAGCCCACGAGGUCAGUACGUGCGAGGAGCUCGAGCAGUUUUGAUAAUAGUGUAAAUACGAACAUUCGGAAAUAUACCUUUAUUAAUAUAUUAUUUCAUCGUAAAAUAUAUAAGAUAGUGUUUAUAUACGUAUCAUUGAUUCUAAAACGAGAUUAUUUACAAUUUAUCUGUCACAAACAUACAAACUCGAGAAGAAUUUUAUUACAAUGUAAUUGUAAUCGUAAAUGAUUCGAUCGUAUUUAUAUAUUAAUGAAGCGAUUAAUGAAAGAUUCGAGGAAGAAAUUCCCUUCAAAACAUUGUAUUACAACGAAAAUUUAUAUCUCUCUUACACGUAUAUCGGACAUUAGAAAAACUAACAACAUACAUAAAUGUAUUCGCCAACUUCUACGAAUCGGCUGUGAACUACGUAUCCUCGGUGUCGAAAUAUCUACGAUAAAGAAAUACCAAUUCUCAACUGUCACGAAUUAUUAUUCGCAGCCUAAUUAUCAUUACAGACUCGAAAUAAUCUACAAUAAUCCCUCGGAUUAACGAAGGAAGCGAUGAGGAGCGGUGGGGAAAAAAUAAGAGAAGUCUAAUUCCGUCUUAAUCAUUCGGCUGGACAGGUUCUCGGAGACCUGUUCCUCGUUUCGCGUCAGGAAUCGGCCGUUCACGCGCACAAAGUCGGAGAAGAGAUAAUCCUGUUGGAUUCCAUCGGACACGUCGUUUCGUCGGGAACGAGAACAAUUCGAGUUCGGUGGGAUGAUGGGGGUUGGAACGCGUUGCGUAAGAGAUUGGACGCAUCUCUCUCUCCGGCCGCUGAGAAUGGUAAGCGGAGGAUUCCGUUAUGCCACACGGUUAUUGAUAUUAAUCCUUUGGACGAGAGGGCGCCACCGAUAGGGAAAUUAAAUUUCCCGUGAAUUCUGGUAAUUCAAUAACCUAUAGAACCGACCGACCAACGCCUCGUUACCGCGAGGAUAAUUAAUUUUAACCGGUUUUUAGCAUCGCGCGCUCCAAAUUUUGAUAUUCCUUGCUUGCUGUUGGCUUGAUACGAUUUAAAACGGAACGGGUAUACCGAAUAUCGCAAUGGGGAUAUAUCGCAAAUUGAAUUAUUCGAAUAUGUAUGUAUAUAUAUAUAUACAUAACGGGGAUAUUAAAAUGUAUUACGCGCGAAUGGGUGAAAUUGGAUAUGUUUGCAGUUGUUAUUAUAUAUCGAUUCAAACAUUUUGUCCAACAAUUUUCGCGCUACGAUUCGGUUUCAACGCGCGCGAUUUGACCGACGAGCGCCCCUCCUCGUUGCUAAGAUAAUUAUUAUCAAUCUUGUUCGAAUCGAUGAGAAUUCGGGUGGACAGAAAGAUAGCUUUUCGCGGGAAUAACACGAAUUACGCGAACAAUGAUGUAAAAUAAGUUUACGAGGGGGCCCUUUACUUUACCUUGCCAUCCUUUGAGAUAAAAAUCUCUCGCGUUCCGCGAAAGAAGGCCGCGAUUAUCCGGCACGGAGAUCGAUCCCUUCCUUCUUUUUCUCUCAUUCUAUCCUCCUCUCGUUCGAAUGAAAAAAAGAAAGAAAGAGAAUUCUUCCUUUCCCCUUCCAUCGAAAAAUCGUACACGUGGCCGAUUACGAUUUCCCUCUUCGCCUUUCCUCGAGUCACGUUAUUAUACUAUUUCAAUGCACUCGUGACAGCAUCCGAAAUAUGUCUCGAGAUCCGUCCAUGCUUGUUUUAUUUUCCCAUUCGAGUUCUCAAUGAAUAAAUUCGACGGUUGAAAAGGUAGAACUAGUUUUAAAAAUUUCGAAUAAUCGGACAUAAUAGCGACUCUAAUUCUCUUUCAAAAAUCAUUAAAAUCCGUGUCGUCGAUAAUUUUAUUUUUCUUCUUCUUCUUCUUCCUGUCCACCGCUAUAUUUUCUUAGGGUUGGAAACGGCGCUGGGGGAAUUACUCCGCCUAGACCCAGUAGAUCCGAUACACGCGCAAGAGGGGGGUGUGAGAGGCUCGUAUAUAAUAAUACAGGUCGUGAUCGUUUCCCCGGGCAACAUUAAUAGUACUUAUCUUCCGUACACCGCACACUAUACGUGGCAAUUAUCGUCCAAUCUUGGAAGGACCACCACCACGACUCCAUACGAUAUAUAACCCUUGCCGGUUUGUCGAACGCGUGCGUGUUGGUUCGUUUUUCGAUGAAUCCUCCUCCCCUUUCUUCUCCCCCCUUUUUUCUCAUUUUCACUCCAUCUCCAAACGCUCAUCGCGAACAAUCGUUUCCUUUUUUCGCGACGAAAAGCACUCGAGGAGCGUAUUCGUUCCUUUCCUUUUCCUUUCCUCUUUUUAAAUAAGCUGGAUUAUUACUUUCAUCCAGAAUUAUUAAUCUGGAUUCUCGAGGAGGAUUCGCAGAAGACACAAAUUUCGUUUGCCAACGAGGUGUUGGUGGUUCCAUUCGGAGAGCUUCUCCCCCGUUGUUGGAGGAGAGGCCGAGGAACGAAGCGAGAUUUAAAUUUAAUUUAACGCUUUCACGUGUUAAGCGUCACGAUAACGAGCCACUGACAACCGAUUAUAAUAAUAAUCGCGGUGGGGGAGGGGGAGGACGCGUUCGAGGUAUUUGGAGAACAGAGCUGUAAAGCCGGGCCCGAGAUUAACCCGUCAACGUUGGCUGGCCUCCGUUGCUUGCUGGCCCCAAUCCCCCGAUACGGUUGUAAUUUAAGCGGGGAAAGAGUUUGGGGGGAAUAACCGAAGGUUAACGGGGAUAAUUAAAUGUACACUCGUCCGGGUAAUUGAUAUUUCGAGCAGAUAGAGAACUCUUCCGCUCCCCCUUUCGGCGGUCCGAAGAUCGAAUCGUUCCGAUAACUUUCCACUCUUCUUUAAUUCUCCUUUCUUUCUCUCUCUCUCUUUUUCCUUUUUUUAUUAUCGUUAUUAUCGGGGGACAAGGAGAGGAAGGGGAGAGAUUAUAAUCGUUAAAGAAACAUUGUCGAAUACAGCGCGAAAUUAAGUAGAGAGGAAUCCAAAUUAAGUGAAUCGAGGGAUCUUUGAAUCGAAGGUUUCGCGUUGAACACGAGAUUUUAUCCGCUAUUGGACGUUAAAAGAUAUAUAUAUCGGAUGAUAUUCGUACGUAUAACACGUAAGAAUUGUUAUUCGUUAAAUAAAAGAAGAAAAUUUGUAAAGAGCAUUAGAAUUUCGAAUAUCCGUUUACACAGAGGGAGGGAGAGGGGGGAGUUUAGAGCCCGUACAAAUCGUUUAACGUAGGCCAGAAUGGCCGACAUUAGCGGAACAAUAUUUGCUAUCCUUUCUUCAAACUCAAACUUCUUGGAAACUCCCUUAUUAGGCAGGUAGAAAAGAAAAGGAAAAAAAGAAAAAAAAUUAGAAACCUCCCUCUUCGCUUGACCAGCUUUUUUGUCGGCGAAGAGGAAUCCCCGAAGAUAUCCCUGGAACAACGACAACAAUAAGAGUUACAACGCUUUACGGUCCUCGAGGCCAAGGUAACCAGAGAGUGGAUGACUCGUUGCUUGUUUAGGACGGAAGUCUGUCGAGCAAACUUCGUCACGGCGUUUCCUUAAAAGUCGUUUGAAAUUACUGACUGACCGAUCGUCUGUUUGGUCGGUGGCGUAAACGAGACGGUUGGCUGGAAAACGAAGGCGUCUUAUAUUAAAGGGAAAAGAGAAAAAGAGAAAAAGAAACGCCAUAAGUGGUGGUGGAAGUUUCAAAGUCACGUUCUUUCGCCACGGUCGAAUAAAUAUCGCGUUUAAUGGCGAAACAUUGGCUGGCCAAUGUUGCCGGAUGCGAUGUAAAUGGUAAAUGGUAAUAAGUAACUAUGUGGACACGCGGUGCGCGAAGCUGGUUUGGAAAAUAACGUAUAAUUAUAUAGUCAAGUAUGAUCCUUUUGAACGAUAAUAAAUGGACACGAUAUAAAUGUAUUGGUUUAUUCGGCAUUUCGAAAGUGGUAAAUAAAUGGAUGGAACGGUGGGAUAUUUCUCUUUUUCUUAUUUUAAUAAAAUAAGAUUCUUUUGAAAGAUAUAAAUUGAUAUAAUAUUAUAUAUAUAAUACGAAAUUAACGCAUUGAUAUUAAUUUUUAUUGUUUUAGUUUUUUUUUUUUUAUUUUCGAAAACGCAGAAAUUUUUGCACGCCUCGUUUCGAUAUAACUCGUAAUUGAAAUCAGUGUUAUUCGCGAUUAUCGAGUAAUUACAAUCAACAAUAGUUCAUCGAAGGUUCGUCGAUAUAUAUAUUUCGCUCGAUAAAAAUUACACACCCGAUGAUCGAGAAAUUAUCGUAGAAUUAUUGCAAAUUCAUGGAAAAAUUAUUCGUGACAAUUAGCCACGGUAUUUUUAUUAAAUCCUUUCGCCCAUUUUCGAAAAAAAAGGGGGAGGGUAGGAAAAUAUACCGUUCCGUUUCGAUAAUAUACAACGCGAUGUAAAUUGGAAACGCGGCACAUAAAUUUGCAUUUUAAAACGUUUUAAAAUUAUCGGGGCUGAAACGGGAUCUAAUAUCAACGUCAUAUCGAAUUUACCAUUGGAACGAAUUCAGGCAAACGCAAUGUUAAUACUUUUUAAGUUAAUUCAUUCUUGCCACGGGAUUCUAUUGUUGAUUUUUUUUUCUUUCUUUCUUUUUUUUUUUUUUAACAAAUCGAAUUUCGUAACGCGUUUCCACGAUUACGAUAAAUUCGAGUGAAAAAAAAGGAAAAAAAAAAAAAAAUAGGCGGCUUUUAACGAUUAAAGAUUUUCGUUUGAUAUUUGUGGAAUUGUGCGAUUGAUAAACAUUUAUUGGCGAUUCUCGAAUUCGAACACAUCGAAAUAAUUUCCAAGUGUUCUUUCGUGUAUAAAUUACAUUUUAUUAUUCAUACGAAUGUGAUCAUAUUUUCGAUUACGGAUACGAUAUCCGGGAAAAUAAAGAAAUAAUUGUAUACGUUUGCGCCAUGUUUCGAGCAUCGUCGAAAUUUUUGAACGUUAUAUUUUGAUAUCAAAAAAAAAAAAAGUAGAAAAAAAAUAUCGUAGAUCAACAUAUUAUAAAUAAUCUUGUGAAUGAAUAUACGCAAUUUCAGUUUUAUUACAAAUAUAUUACAUUCGUAUACACGUUUAAAGAAUACUGAGAAUGUCGAGAGAGAAAUUUUCUUAUUACGAAAAUGACACGGUGUUCAUUUUCGAGAGAAUAAUAAAAAAAAAAAAUGUUGAUCGAGAUUUAUUUAUCGAGUUAUAAGAUCAACGAAAUGGAAACAUCUCUCUUCAAUCGCAACUACGGAUUAUUAGAAUAUUUAUGCAAAAUAUAAACCCUCCUUUCUUCUAAAAUUUCUAAAUUUACCAACCUUUGUUCCAGUCUUUUUUCUUUUUCUUUUUUUUUUUUAAAUAUAUAUUAACACCCUCCGCCAUUGCACACGAAUCACGAAGAGGGAAACUUCAUUAACGGCCUCGUGAAUAACGAAACGUGUACUCGGCGCGUACUACCCGCGAUAGUAUUUAUCGAGUUCACAUUAAUAGUGAAAGCGCAGUGGGUGUCGCUUAGUCGCUCGAGUGGAGGCCACUUAAGAAACGGGUGGCAAGGUGCAAGGAUAUAUACACGAAAGACGAUGAUCGCCGGCAGCUGUUGACGCUCCAAGAGGAGGAGAAGGCCCCGCUGUACGAAUACACGUUAACGACAAGCGACUGGUAACACGACGAGGGUGACAAGGGGUGGUGGUGGUGGCGCGAUGCACUUGGAAAACUUUCAGGCGGUUCGACUCGAAAAGUUGACUCGUUAAAUAUGAAAACCGGAAGACAACGCGGGACAGAGGAAGAGAUUCUUCCUUCUCUAUUCUUGGUCGUCUGACACGCUUGAAGAGAGGGCGCUGAGAUAAGGGGAGAAGAGGGAGAGAGAGUUUCUUUCUGGUUUUUCUCGGAUGAUCGUCGAAUGGUUUUUGGGAAUUUUACGUGUGAAUUGUGGGAAGGGGAGGUGUGUUUUGUCUACGUGCUGCUCUAAGAAUCUCGAUAUUUACACGAAGGGAACUUUGUGCAUCGGUUAUGCAGUAUUACGCAACACCCUUCUCCGAGUAUUUGAAGUUCGUCAAAGGAGAGAAAUUGCAAUCUUGUAACGAGGUCUUAUUUAUAUCUUAAAAAAGAAAAAUUGUGUCGCCAAAGGAAACGGUUCAAGUUUCUCCUCCUCCUUAAAUUUGACGAACUUCGAUCAACGUGUAAUAAAAACGUGUAACUAAUAAAUGAAAGAAGAGAAGAGAGAGAGAGAAAAAUCAUUAUUUUAAAAUAAUUUAAUUAAAAUCGAUCGACUAACAAACUGCGCUGCACCAUGUACCAGGAUAAGAAGAACGGAAGGAGAGAAAGCGAGUGGAGGAAGAAUACAGAAAGAAAGGAGGGGGAGGAGAGUUGCAAGGCGGAUGGGUUGGGAAGAAGAAGAAGAAGAGGAAGAAGAAAAAAAAUCGUUAGACGAUUUUCUAGUAUCGGGCCAGUGUUGUCGGCAGUUUUAAUGGCAGCUGAACCACUCCCAUGGGCCGCGGGAGUACCUGAAAUAUCGAUCUGGACGAGGAACAUCUUGAAUUCUGGUACCACCAGAGGUAGAGAGGUAUCGUGUACACCGAUUCCGAGCCGAGGAAACGAUAAGACUUCCUUCUUCCCCUUCUCCUCCUACUUCUCCUCUCUCUCUCUCGUCCUGCAUUCGUGGCCUGUGCGCAUCAACAUCUCUUCUCCGGCCAAGCCUCCUCUCUUCCAACCAUCCACUCUCGAGUGGACCAAUGUGAACGGGGCUUUGUGAUGGCAUAACGAGCGUAGAGAGCCUCUCCCAUGCCCCGUGUAAUCUGGUCUUCGGGUAAUUGUACGUUAUACGUCCGGAGAGGGAGAGAGGAGCUAGGAGCGAGAGUUUGCGAAAAAUCGUGGCUCAUUCGGGUAGAAGUCGUGGAAGGGGGUGGAGGGAGAGGGUACACUCGAGGCGGGGAGCGAAGAGGAAGAAUAUACGAGAUGCUCGUGGAAUGAACAAAGAAAGAGAGGAAGAGAAGAGGAAGCUCGAGGUAUUCGAGGAGGAAGAAAGAGGAGAAGUAUAAAAUCGUGGUAAGUAAGAAAGAAAGAAGAAGGAAAAAUACGCUGAUAACGAAGAAAAAUAAAUUACUCGGGGCAAAGAAGAAGAAGAAGAAGAAGAAUAUGCUCGUGACGAAGAGAGAGAGGAAGAAUUCGUUCUUCCGGAAGAGGAAGAAGAAUAAUAUAUUCGAAGAAAAUGUACGAGAUGGACGAGGAGAAGGAGGAAGAAAAAGAAGGAGAGGAGAAAGAGAGAGAGAGAGAGAGAGAAGAAAAUUGCGGGGAAGAAGUGGAGAAUGCAGAAGGGGAGGAAGAUAACCGAGGUGGGAGCGAGCGUUGAAGGUGAAGAGGAUGGAAGAGGAAAAGGAGAGGGGGCGAACAGUGUGUGAGAACACGCUAUCAGCGGCCUCCUCUCGACCCGGGGACCACACCGCGAGACCACCGUGCGUGCCUUCGCCUUUCUUCGCCAAUAUAUCCGCGAUCAAACAUCGAGAGGCGAGUGGAUCAUUGGAUAUUUACUGGGCCUGGACCACUGGGGGCCUCAUGAACACUGGAUACCGAAGAGGUUUGCGGUUUGCACCAGCUCCUCCCAAACGAAACUGCCUAACACCUGCCCGUUAAUUAAGGCCCAUUCGCAAGGAAUUCGUGCGUUUAGGUAAUUCAAUUCGAUCCAACACUGUCUGUCGAUUUAAAUAUCCCAGUGUAAGGGGAUUUGGAUCGGCCAUUUAGUAUUUAUCCAAAAUUACACGUGGAACGCGGACGAAGGGGGCCUUGUUGCCCGGCCGUUUUAUCGGCUCAGGAUGCGAUAAGCGGUGGCUGAGGAAUAAAUACAGGGAGGUAAGGAGGAAAGGGUAUGGUGGAGGUAAGGAAAGAGGCUUGGGCCGUUUUAAUAAUUCACGCGAAGAACCGAUACGGCCGCGGAAAAUAAAGAUGUAGGCCCAACAACGGCCAUUUUUCCUCGUUAAUUGAAGGAAGCGAGCCCUUUUGCUUGGUAGAUCGUGAUAAGCCCCGAGAUCCACCAACCAAACAACGAAGAGGGGGGCCACGGUUUCAACGGCGGAGGAGCGGCCUUCUUCGCUCGCCUUCCCUUAACAGUGCACCAGCAGCCUGCUCCCCGUCUUGUAAACCAUUCCUCUUUCCACCUCGUGUAACAUCCUCGUGUGCAUUGUGCGCGCACGAUAAUGACGACGAGGAAGAAAAUUAUCUAUUAUGUACUUGGAGAAUCUUGGACCAUCUUCGAAUAGAGUAGAGAGAGAGAGCGAGAUGUGGUAUUCGAGAUUUCCUCGAGUCUCAUAGAAUUUUUGCUAUAUUUUGAUACUUUGGAUGGAAGGUGAACAGUUUCGAGGAGUUUGUUAGCUGGGUGUGAGAAUCAAUUUUAACUUUUUUUAUUUUCUCUACAUUCUUCAGGCGGUAAAUUUUAUAAAAUUUAAACGAUCGAGAUAUCUAUGAUUAAUAGAUUUUGAAUACAGGAAAAAACAGGUGUAUAUUAUAAAUGAUAUUUUUCACUGCGAAUUGGAAUAAUAAUAAAAUCAAAUAUGAUAAUUUGAAAGUGUAAUAAUACAGGGAAAGAUUUGUAUUUAUAUUUUAUAGAAUUGUGUAGCACGUAUUUAUCGGGAAUUAUACACGUAUAAGUACCUCGUUAAAACUAUCUCGUGUCCCGUUUAAUAAUCAAUGACGCAAAGAAAAUGCGCAAGCUUUUGCUUUACACUUUAUAAGAUAAUAGACUAUUUAUUAUGGAAACGUGUUUUAUCCUGCGUGUUAGUUUACGUGGUCGAAGUCCAAUGCAACAUUCGCUACUAUUAUCCCACGGUUUAAAAUUUAAUACACACUUGCUAGACAAUUUAUAGGUGAGAAGUAGCCGUUUCGUGGUAUCAUCGUCGAAAGAAAGCGAAUAUUUGUCGAAAAAUCUUUUCUAAAUCGAUCCUUUCUAAAUCUUCCUAAAUCACACGUUCCAGCACGUAUCCUUGGACGUAUAUUUCAUUCUCCAAAUCGUUUUUCCCCUCCAAAAAAGAAAAAAAUCUUAAAAUUAUUCUUCGUUCCAAGUAAAAAAUUUUCCUCGCUCAAAAGAACACCCUCGAUUUUCACUUUCACGCCCAAUCGAUACCCGAUCCUCGCCUCUUAAUAACUCUGAAAGUCGUCCAAAUCAUCCACGUGGACGACACGUGGACAAAUGUUUGGGCACAAAGGCGUUUCGUUUGGAAUCGGUGGACAGAUGUUUCAGCGUUCCUUUGAUCCGUGAUAAUCCGCGAUUCGUACGCGGUAUCGCGCGCUGGAUGAAGAAGACAAACGGGAAUCGAAACGUUUCGCCUCCUUUAGGACAGAGAAAUCGAUGAGGAGAGGGUCUAAUUAACAGAGAGGCUCGUUCCCUCGUCAAUUGGCCCAAUUAAUUCGUCUCGUUACGGCAUAUAACGACAUUUGCGUGCAUUUGCAUCUGCCAUCCGCGACGAUCGAAUCUUCUUCUUCGAAAAUCGAAAUCGUUCGAUCGAAACUUGCACACGAUCGAUUCCCUUAACUAGCUAGUUAAGGAAGAAUUAUUUUUCGCUCGUUCGAAUUUCAUGCGAUACUCGACUUUAAUCGAAAUUAUUGCGGAGGAAAUGCUCGUGUAACAGCGCACGCAAUUUUGACGUAAAAGUUUUAAUCCGCGCCACUCCAUCUUCAUUUACCUGUCACUCAUCACUGUGUUUAUGCAAAUCGCAAAAAUAAACUUGAAAUUAAAAAUCUCUUUAUAAGUAUAUAUAUAUAUGUUUUUUUUCUUCAUAUCGCAAGCUUCCCCUAUCAAUCUCACACGAUAUAAUAUUUCCAAUUUUUUACCGAUAUCGCGUAUAAAUCACAAAUAUUGUUAAUUUUAAUUCAAUUUCCUUGGAAUCUAAAUUUAUCAAAUGAACACUUUUUCCUCCCUUCCGUAUAUAAGAAAAAUUCGAUUAACGGAGAUAUAUUUUUAUUCCUCUCCGGAUAUAAUCAACCCUUCGUUUCCUUCGUGAAAACACCGCGUUCCUCCCCGAUAGUUCCUCCACGAACUUCGCCACGGCCACGUUUAUCAGCGGAUUUCUUCGAACGGACUCUUUGCACCGCGGAGAACUUUAAUUCAAUCAGUGCGGAUCGAUGGAUAUGUGUGUGUGUGUGUGUGUGUGUGUAGACGAAAUCGCAAACGCCACAUAAUUCCAUCCGAGGUAUCGGCUUUACCGGGAACUGUCCCGAACUCGUCUCGAACCGGCGAUCUCCCCGACAGUCUGGAAAGUUGCGGCAUUACGACCGUCAUUUUUCCUUUUAUCGACUCCGCCGAGGAUUAAAACCCGUCGAAUGACCCGGCGAAAAUAGCGAAACUGUCUGAAAAACGUCGAGCAAUUUGUUUCCUUUUUCCUUUUUUUCUUUUUUUCGAUUCCUUUUUAUGAAAUUUGGAAAAGGGUAAGGGGAAUUCGAUCACUCUUCGAAAUGGGGUUUUCAGUAUUUUUUAAUCUUCCGAUAUUGUUUGGAUUCGAGGGAGACGGAGUGUUUCUUCGUUGUUUGGAAUAAUUUUUCGAGGUAAUUUUAUUGUAUUUUGGAAAAAUUGAGUUUGAAUUGAAUUUUUUGAGAAGGUUUUUUUUUAGAAGGAUUGUUAAAGAAAUUUUGGAAAAAUUUUUGAAAUCGCAAGAAUUUUUUAUUCAAUUCUAUGUAUAUAUAUAUCGUAAUAAUAUCAAGCUUUUCGAAGCAAUCGAUCUAGCAGAAAGUAAAUAAAACAUGGAAUCGUAUAAUCGUUCCAAAUGGGAAAGGUUUGACCUUUUUUCUUUUCUUUUUUUCUUUUUUUUUCGGUGCCGAAUUACACGAUGUCAUUCGAAAACGGAAAUCCCUUGUCGUCGCACGCUGUUCGACGAAAGGUGCACGAUAUCGAAUAACUUACAUUUUUCCAGAUGUGGAAUUCGUUUUAUAAUUUAUAUCCCAACUAUUCGUUAUUCGUACGAAAGCUCAUCUUUCUCUGGAAUAGUAUCCCUUUAUUUUGGCAUCCCAAUUCUUAAAAUUUUAUUGGACCUCGAAGAUAUUAAUCGGGAGGAAUUAAAUAUUUUCGGGAUAAUCCGAAAAUCUUUCGAAUUGCGAGGAGAGAUAAAUGAAUGGAGUAAUAUAUUGGGAUAUUGGAGAAAUCGAAGGAUUGAUCCCUUUUACACUUCUGUUCUGUUUAAACUUUCGAAUCUAAUUACUUCUCCAUUAUUCCAAUUCCAAAACUCGUCGAGAUUGUCGACGAAUCCCCCACCAUUUCCCACCAUUACGACUCGACUUUUCUUAUUAUCCGACCUCUCCUCCACGAGUCUCUCCCUUUGUCAAAAGAAAUAUUCCAAGGCUGGCCACGGAUUCCGAUUUAAAUUUCACGAUUACUUAUAAAUAAAAUUGCGAAUCGAGAAGAUAGCCGACACCUGGAAUAAAGAAGAAUACUCUCGAGCGUGAAAUGAUAUUCGAUGUAAUAAAAUAACUCGAAUUCCUUCGUGGAGAAAGACAGAAAGAGAGAGAGAGAGAGAGAGGGAGCGAAAGUUCCGUCACGGGUCGCGAAAAAAUAUGUAAUUUCCACUCUUGCCAACGAUUCGACCAGUUUAACACGCGAUUGCUAAUUUUUCCUUUUUCUCUUUUCGUUCUUUUCUUUUUUUCCAUCGCGACACGUCGUUAAGUCUUAACGCUCGUGAUAUGCUAAUGGGGGAAGGGGGGAGGAUAUUUGGAAGGGAAACUUGGAACGAAACUGGACGAGAACUUCGGAUCGAGAACUUUAUCUCGAUUUGCCUUCUCGAUCAGAUUGUUUCGAAUAGAAAUAUCGUUGGCAGAACGUGUCGUUGAUCCUCACACGCGAGAGGAAAGCGAAUAUGGAAAGUCGAUAAAAUUGUUGUCCAUGUUUGUUUGUAAAAUUGAUUUAUUCCGAAUCGAAUAUUCAUACGAGGUUUAUGUAGAGGGCUGAUAUGGAAUUCGAUCUGGAAUUAAUUGUUAUUGCUUCUUCUUCUCCUUUUUUUUUUUUUUUAAUAAUUCUUUUUAUUUAUACGUUCGUUAAAUCUAAUUUUUACGUUGUAAUGUGAUAGAUAGGGAAUGUUAAAUACGAAUUCUUAAUAAAAAUUAGUAAUGAAGAAAAUUCUUCGACGUUCGAACGUUAAUAUUUGUCAAAAAAAUAAUCUGUAGCAGGAUUGAUUUUGUCACUAUAAAAAAAAAAAAAGAAAAAAUACAUAUAUUUGUAUAAAUUUAAUAGCAUCAAUCCAAAUCGAAUUUUUGUUAAAUAAAAAAAAAAUACGUAAUAUCUAUAUUCAAUAUUUUAAAAACAUAUUCCGAUAAAAUCCAUCAAAAAUCAAUUUACAUCCGUAAUAUUGUUAAAUAUUAUUAAAUAAAAAUUCCGAAAAAGAAUCAACGGUUAAUAGAACGAUAUACGAAAAAAAAAAUCCAUUAAACUCAACAAUUUAAAUCUAAAAAUUUAAACGUAAAAAAAUUAAAUAAAAAAAAAAAGAAAUAACAUAUUUGCCAAAUUACAAUUAUAACUACCAUCUUCAUAUAUACCGCUCCAUAAAUAUGUGCUCCAUAUAUCGUUGAACAAAAUUAUUCGAGUUCGAAAUAAGAAUUAAACGUGCAACUCAUUCCUCCCCAACGAGUGGAAAUCGUUCUUUCGCACAAUGUAUCCGAAAUGUACUCCAAGGAAUUAAACCCUGGAAGAAUUCGCAAAUGUAUUCAUCGUGGCAGCAACAAAAGAUCAUAUUUCCCAUUCUCUCUCUAUUCCUCGACAAAGGAAGGACCAUCCCGCGAGCAAGCAGCAAUCUCGAGCAGGAAUCGAGGAGCCCUACCUGUUUCCCAAUUUCCAAUCCGUCGAGUCGUAAGAUCGGAUCUCAGAAGGGCCUCGAUUCGAGGACGUUUCACGAUAUUGUCGGUCCCCGCCGCCGGGGCCCCGUCACACGAUCUCUCUGUGAUCCGUUCUGGUAUUUCUGUUGGGAUCGUUUGGCUUGGUGAAAUAGAGAAUGGAAAAUUUACGGACAAAUUUUAAAAAGGAUUGAAGAAGAAAUUGGCGGAAGACUUUGAAAAAGAUGAAAAAGAAUCUCUCCUCGCUCAUCCAUUUUUCUGCAUUAGAUAUUUAAGAAUUAUAUUUAUAGUAAGUUUUAAAAAAAUUAACGAAAUUCAUGGAUAUGAUAAGACGACAAAAUCGUUAAGACUGAAAAGUUUAAUAACUUUUGUAAAAUUUCGAAGCAAUUUCGACAACUCCAUUGAUUAAAAGUUAUAUGAAAAAUCAAAACGCACCGUGUUAAAGAGAACCUGUUGAUGAAAAAAGAAGAAAAAAGAACAAACACCGUGCAGAAUCUCCGAAAUACUACUAGUAAAUAAAAAGCGAGGUGGAAAGAGGAGUAGCCGCGAAACUCGGUCGAAAAUGGAAUUUCUCAGGGCAUCGGGUGACGACAAUCCCCCUCCCCCUGGCUUGGAACGAGCCACGAGGCAGGGGAAAAAUCUGGAGAAUAAGGGGACCGGAUAAACCCGACCUCGAGACGAGACGAGAAGAGGAGAGGAAGACGGAGAGAGGCGACAAAGCGGGGUACAAAAUAGAGAGGAGUGGAAGAGAGAAGGAAAGAGAGAAAGAAAAGUUGAGAUAAAUGGAUAGAAAGGGAGGAGAGGAAAAGAUGUCGCGCGCUACGGCUACGGUUUGUCCGAGAGAUGUUAUCAUCGCGGAGGAGGAGGAGGAGGACAGGGGCGUAUACGAUGAAAAGGUGGCCAGGAACCUCUAACCGGACCCCCUCCCUUAACAAUCGCAUCGCGCAUUCUUCUCCUGCGAUCCGCUCGGCCCGAUAGUUUCGACAGAGUUGCAAUUUGCUCGAUGCGGUUGGCGCGCCCUUUCCACUCUUCCUUCCAACCCCGGUAUUGCAACGGUACGGCAUCCUCGACAACAACGGCCGUGGACGACAAUGAGAUUCUUAUCGGACGUAUCGGAGGGGGCCGUUCGUCCCCUUGUGUGCAGCUGCCUUGAUUGUGCUUAUCCCCUUUCAACAAGCAUAUAUUCCGCGUUUCUCGAGUCUCUUCUCCCUCCUAGGAGAUCCUCGCGCGCGUCUUUUCACGGCGGGUAUAAACGAAGUAUAAAUACGGUUUUAGAGUGACAUUUGAUUAAACGUUUCUUCAGAGAAGUAAUAACCGAAAAGUUUCUUGGAAUAUUUCUCGCCGGAUAAUCGUCAACGUAUCCCCAACUUUUAUGGGAAACCAAAUAUUUCCAAUAUUUCCACGACUCCCGUUAACCGAGUCAAUCUCGUGUGCACGCGCUCGAUCUUGCUACGCUCGUGUAAUCGCGUCGGUGGAUCGCACGAGAGGAGAUCCUCGUGACGAGCUAUUGACAAACAAGUUGGUAAUUUACUGGACGCGGUCGUGGCGGAGAACGAGCCGCAGUCCCUUAAGCCUCGUCCACAACGGGUGCAAGAUCGGUAUCGGGAAAGGGAACGCGUGUGCGAGUAAAUUCUCUUGUAGCAGAUCCGUGUGGGUCGUCGCCUCGAAAAGAACUAUCCGCCGAUAAAGAAAGAAUGGUUCUUUAAUAAAUAAUGGGCGUAGAGACCGUGCGUCCCAUUGUGAAGCGGUUCUCUUUUGGUUCCAGUCGGAGAAACGGAUUUUCUUCUCGAUUUCCGUUUCUCUUUCUUUCUCUCUCUCUCUUUGGUUUUCUUAUGGAAACAAGAUUUUAGUUAGCAAGUUCGACGAGCAAAAUUUACACGUAAUUUUACAUAUUUUACAUAUUGUGAUACCAGUUGCGAUCUAAUAAUACGAUGAUGGAGAAGAAAUAUUAUUGGGAUCGUAAUUUUCGAGACGAGAAUUUUAUUUGUUGAAUAAUCACGGAUACAUCCAUAUGCAUCGUUUAGGAUUGGUUGUAGAUAGAAUAGAAUUUGUUACAAUGGGAAAAAUAUCACGUUUCCCCUAUCGUUUUCACCUAUUAUCCAUCGUUAAGAGGAAAUCUUUUUCCUUUCAUCCUCGAAAUACCUACCUGCACACUCGCCAAUCUUUCGAAUACGUAAGAGCUACCAUCCUUGGAAAGGAAAACCCGCCCAGAUCUUUGAAUCUUCCUAAAGGAAUGUACAUCCUUUGGAUAAAACGAUACAGUUUUACCCAAAAACCGACCUUACCUCUGUUUCCAAUCGUCCAAAGGGAGAAGACACCUCACAAUGGAGCCAUCCUUCCCAAUUGCAAAAAAAAAAAAGAAAAAAGAAAGGACAGCGAAAGACGAAGGGAAAAAAUUAGAGAAAUAAUUGGACGGGCACACGGAUAAACGAUGUCGAAGGAAGCGAUGAUGUCGAAAGCUCGAAGCCAAGUUCCUAAGUUCCUUCCAUCGAGUUCGCCUGAAGUUUAAGCGUUCAGAGCGGAAGGAUCACUUCCCUCGGAAUGUCUGUCUGGGGCAAGAAAGAGGUAAGAAACAAAAAGGAAGGGAAAAAGGCUCGACCAAACUUAACAUCCCCGCUCAUUAACCAUCGAUUAUACCGCGAAUUCUUCGAUUAUUGGAGACUAUCGGCGGAUCGAUAAAAUUAAACUCCAUAAUAACGAUUCCAUUUUUCUUCUUCUUCUUUCUUGGCCAAUGCUCGAAUUUUAUUAUGGCCGCCCGAUUAAUCUCUCUCUCUUUCUUAAGAAAAAGCGGAAUUGUUCUUUCUUAUUAUUCCAAUACGCUUCGCUUCUUUUCGAGAGGGAGGGAGAAAGGAGUGGAAGGAGAAAGUAUAUAGCGCAACGAUUAACCUGGCCGAUCUUUUAUGCAUUCACCCUGUCCCGCGAUAACGUCUCCAUUUUGACGGAGUAGUUUGAGGUUAUGUGUGUCGCGUGAACGUGUUUAAUGUUUGCGCAAGACACGAAGAGGAACUUGACUUGUAGCAUAAGCUUUUCGAGGACGACGAUGAGGAUCGAUGAAUUGCAAAUUUUUUUUUCUUUUUCUUUUUUCUGAGGUAAUAUUCAGGUUGGAAGUAUCUAUUAGGGAUAAUCGAGUGACGCGUGGUAGUCGAUUAUUCUUGCUGAUUAUUCUGCUCAAAGUUGCUUUAAUUAACGAACGAAUUUUAAUAAUAAUACAAUUUUUUGUACAAAGAAUAACGUUAUUUCUCUCUCUUUCUCGCUAUUUGAUAUUGCGCUUUUUUGAAUUGUUCGAAAAAAAGCAGCGAAAAUACGCACAUUUUUAAUCGGAAAACCAAAUAAAAAAGCGGUUUUGCGGUAACGUGGAACUGGUUGACAGUAUUAUUAUUACAUUGGAAAAUUGCUUGCACGGUAAAAACGGGAAAUGUGAUUUCAUCGUAUGAUCCUCGAUCAAUCCUCUAUGGUUCUCAUUUAUUCCAUUCAUUGUGAAAUUUCGUUUUAUUAUAGUUAAUAAAAUCUCGCAUAAAUGUCACAGCCAUUCGAGAGCGCUCGAAACGAGAGAUCCUCUGCACGUGCAGAUACUAUUUUCCAUUUCGCUGUUCAUACAAAGAUGAUCAUGAAAUGGAACAAAAUGGACGACAGAGAGAGAGACCCAGGAUAGCUUUCAUAAUAGAAAAUAAUAAUAACGAUGAUGAGAUUGAAUUACAAUGCUUACAAAUUUUUCCAAUUUUUCAUAGAACCAAUCUGUAAAUGAAUUCACAUUACGUUGCAUUAUUUAUCUAACUUAUUCUAAUAAUUUCCCUUUAAUCUAUUUAUUAUAUAGACUUUUUAACUAUUAUUCAUUAUACGAAUAAAAUUAUAUAUCGAUCGAUUCAGAUUCUUCAGAUUCUCCCUUGUCCAAUACCAUAUCCUUUUUCCAUUCGAUCAACAGACUUUACAUUAUUUUUGUCUAGGGAAUUUCUUUUCCUAUUAUUCCUUAGAAUGUUUUUGAUUCCUCGAUCGAUUCGAAGAAACAUUAAAACGAGAUAUCUCGUCAUCCGUACGCAGUGUAUUAAUUGUUUAAAAGGAGAGGAUUUCUGCUCCCUUUCUCCUCGUUAACCUACCAAUCUCUGCUACUUAUUUCCACCCUCACCAGCCCGGUGCAAUCGAGCGUCCGCGGUUUACGAGGUUGAACGAGGCAGCAAUGAAACAUUCUUUCCGAGUCAGCGACAGCGAAAUCAGCGAUGGAGCAUCGCUGCUGGAAACCGUGGAACCCAUAACUGGAAAGAUCCAAGUUUGCUAUAAACGUUUCCCUUUAAGGGUGAUUCCUUCCCUUGGAAAAGGCUACGAAUUCGAUACGGAACACGCUUUUUAGAGGGAAUAAUUCAACGUUUCCUUGGAAAGUAACUCUUACGUGAGCCGUCUUGCGAUAAGACUGUAUUUUUUCUUCUUAUUUCUUUUUUCUUUCCUAAAUCCAAGCGCAAGAUUCGAAAUUUGAUAGCUUCUCCUUCGAGGAGAUGCACUCUUUUCCAAUUUUCCUCCCUUCGAUCGAAAUUAAGAUGAUCGAGAAUUAAAGAACCCUCCUUCAACGAUUUUCCUUCUUUGGAAAACUUAAAAUUUUGACGAACGGACAAGGAGAAAGCGAUGCUCGGACUUCUCAGCAGAUUGAGACAUGAACGAAUUCAAAAUCACGGUGAUUCGUUUUUCUCGCAUAAUCGGCAAUUCGGAUAUUAGAGGCAAGAUUGGAAUAAUCACAGUGACGCGUGUAAGGUUAAUGAUAAGGCGGGAGAGGGGAGGGGGAAGAGGUGUAAAUUACUCAGGGGCUUGGACUUCUUCGCCGACUUACCGAGAAACGCAUUAAUGCACCGUAAUGCAACUUCUGUUCCCUCUGUCGUUGAUGUAUGCACGCAAUAAAUCAUCGCGAAUCUUAUUUGGACGAGGUUACAGCCACCGGCCUCGUUCAACAGGUCUAAUUUGCGAGAGGCAUCGUCGUUGCCUCUCUCGAGCACCCAUCCAUUCCUUCCUUCCUUCCUUCCUUCCUUCCUCGCACAUUCCUAUCCUACGUCUUUUUGCAUCACCGGUGGAAAUGCUCGCCUCCUCUCCCUUUUUCAAUAAUAAUGAAACCGCGCUCGUUCCUCGAUUGCCUUCGUAAUUAAAACGGGACGAGGAAGAGAGACGGUUGUAUUUAAUCAAAUUGGGGAUGAAGUCCAUUUGUUUUCUCGUUGAUAGUGUAUAUGUAUAUAUAUAUUUUUUAAUCUGAUUUUUCUCGUUCCUCGAGAGAUGAAAGUUAGGGAAAGUUAAUUUUUGAAACGGGGGAGAGUUUUUUAUUCGAAACAUAUUUAAUUCGUGUUAUUCGUUUUUAGAAAAUUUUUCUCCUCGUUAAUUAAAUAUUUUCGCGCAUAAUUUCAGGAGGUACCCUGCCAGGCGUACAAUGACGCAACAAAGAUGACAAAUUCGAUUUAUUUCCCAUAUUUCGUGCAAAUCGGGGGGGAUAAAAUGGGGAAAGUUAAGUCGAUCCGGAUUCGAACGCACGGUUUAUCGUCUAAAAGUGAAAAGCCGUGCGUGCAUAGUCGGUGUGCGUAGGUUUCAUUGAAUUCUACGGCAACCCCCCUCCCAUUCAUGCUUUCUCGCGGGAUCCAGCGAUGGGAUCGAGCAUAUCACGAGUAACCGAUGAACGAGUAUCUCGGAAAAAAGAGACUUUCACAUAGAAAAGUGGAAUUAAACGUGGAAUAGGAAUCAAUAAUCGAGAAUAAUCUUUUUUAACAAUUACAAUUUAAAUUCCACGAUGUACUUUUCUCGAUCGUUGUGCACGAGAUAUUCUAUUCGGAAAUUUGAAAGAAAUUGACGAGCAUUCGUUUCGAAAAAAAUAACGCUCGAUUCCUUUCUCGACCAGAUUUGUCUCGGAUCUGUGCCGCUCGAUCCCAUCACUACCCGUCACCCUUCUUCCUCCGUUUCGGCCGACAGUCAUACAGGAGGCUGGCCGCGUGUGUAAAUUAGGAUAUGGAGCGUAACCGUCGAGUAAAACUGGUUUCAACGCUGGAAUCAAUGGGGGGGUUCCCGAUCCGCGCCACCUUGACGCGCGUGUCACGUGGAUGGCGUAUUAAUGGCGGCUGGAAUUCCAGUUACGAGUCGUGAUUCAGAGUAGGAAAUUCUCGAGGUGGGAACUAAUUCAAAUGGAAACAAGGUAUUCGCUUCUGGAUAUAAGGAAAAGGAAAAAAAAAAAUAAUAUAAAAGAUUUCACGCAUUCGUUUCGAAUCCGGUUUCAGGUAAACAGUUGAAGAUAAAUAUCGUAGAGUUUCGUAUCGAUAAAGCGGAUCAUCAAACGAAGUGGAUAAUAACACUUUCUAAAAUUUCCAUCCGCGGAAAUUUAAUUUCAUAUCCAUUAUUUAAAAUUUAAAAAAAGGAAUUCUUUAAAAUUGAAUCUCUUUCUUUUCAAACAAUCCUUUCUCGCAAAAUAACUUUAUCAACCAUCGAACUUUACCGCAAAAAGAGUCGAAAAUCUGUGGAAAUCUCGCAUCCACCGCACCAUUCAUCCUCCCGUUUCAUUCAAUUCUCUUUAUUUUUUUUUUUUUUUCGUUCUUUCUUUCUUUCUUUUUUUCUUUCUUUCAAUGGAAUUCACGAAGGAAAAGAGUUUCGAAGGGAGAAUUGACCGAUAACGAGAUUGGACGUACCGUUUGACUAAUCGAGAUCGAAAACUGGAUCAGCGUUUAAUUAAUUCCCGGCCGAUUGAAGCGUGGAACGAUCCUUCGAAUCGAAAAUUUGCCGUGGAAAUAUUAACGACUCGAACCGAUUUCCACGAACUCCAACUUGAUCGAAUCGAGCCGCGAAUUAGAUAAAUUUAAAACAAUCGUCAACAAUUGAUAACUCCCCUAUAGAUCCACUCAGAAACGUUUCGACGAGAAAUGUGGAUCCCGCUUGAUUUACUUGCAGAUAUAUCAUUAGAGGAAAUUUUAUAUUUCAAAUAAAUCGUGUACGCGGCAAUUAUUUAUUCUCGAGUUAAAUUUAAUUUGUUGAAAUUUAAAUUAGGUAUAUUACGAUUGAGAAAAAGAGAGGUUAUGAAUCGGAUUUUCACUUGUCAGGUUUAAGGGGAUUUCUGGGAGAAAGUUUUUUUGGUCCGUGAAAAAGCGGGGAAAGAUGAGUGGUGGGGGUCGUUUAAAGAACGCGGUUAACAAGGAUAUUAAAAGAAAGAAUCGCGCGUAAUGGCCGGUUUAUCUUUUUGGCAACGCGUUUUCAUUGCCUCGUUAAAAGGUAGUGGCUACUCGAAGAAAACGUUAAAAAAGAUCGUAACGCUACAUAAAGAUAAAAAAUGGCGGUGUUUUAAACGGCGUGCCAGUUAUGAGUUGGAUUCUUUGCUGGGUAUUUAACCUGUGUCGAGAAUUUGUGAAGUGUCGUUAACGAUGAUAUAACGAUUAAUUCGGGCAACUUUUUAACGCGAGGGAAAUUCUUUCAAUAAUUUCCCAUUCGUUCGUCCGUUCAAUUGUAAAAUUAUCUUUGAUUAAAUUAAUUAAAAUAUUCUCUUUUCGAUUUAACAAAUAAUAUAUAAACGUAUAAUGAGUCGAUAUGGGAUACGAUUCUUGAAAAUUGACGGUGUUCCAUAGAACGUGAGAAAGAUUCGAUGUGUUAUGAUUCAUUUCUUUCAUUUCUUUCCACGAGUGACCCUUCACCUUCGAUUAAUUCAAUUAUCGCCGUAUGCUUAAUUGAAAAACAAGAGAUAAGAAUAUAAAAAGAUAAGAAAAAAAGAAUUAGCAGGAAAUAUUGAUAGAAUCGAAGAUCAUCCAACGCACAACGUGGCGAUUCAUGGAUGCCAAUCGUCUCCAUUCAUCCGUAUGAUUCGCAAUUUCCUCUUUGAUAUCGAAUUUUUUGCAUUCAUUGCGCUCAAUGAACGAAAGAAAAAAAAGUCGAAAUAGCCUUUAAAGAGAAAAAUCGCCUCGCCUUCUUCCUACGAAUUUUAUCUUACUUCUAAGGCCAUCGAUGCCAAGACACCAUAUCUCCUCCUCCAUUAAUAACCAAGUUGUUCGUUAAUAUUUUUAUCUGGCCACGAUAACGGAUCCGACGUUUGGUCAACGUUUGGUGCAUUCAAGAGCCGUAAUUUUUCCUUCAAAGAGGAGCAGAAAAGUUGUUUCUAAAUUUGGAAGGGCAGGAGAUUUGGGAUAGGAAAUUUUUAUAGGAAAAUAAAUAGAAAAUUGUAUACAUUUUAAAAUAUAUUUAUUGAAUUAAAGUUACAAGAAUAAAAUCUAAAAUUCUUAAUCUUCAGUUACAUCUUCUUCCCGAAUGUAAGAUAACUCUUCGUCCCUUCUUCCCAAGGAAAAUCUCGAGCAACAACAAUAUCGUUAACGAGGAACAAAAUUUAGCCUCUCAUCAAUUACAUUUCUCGAUCCAUAAUUGGAUUUAGCAGACGGUUCAGACUUGGAUCGACGUGCAACAAUAAAUAUACAGGUAUUUUCAUUAUCGAACGUCGACAGCCAGCCGCUCGUAAAGUCUUCUCCGGAACGAGCCACGAUGAUUUACUCUCUUUUUCUCCUUCCCCCCUCUCUCUCUUCCCUCGGAUGCAACCUAUAUUUUCUUCUCUCUUUCUCUCUUUCGAAUAUAUUUUUUUCGACGAUCACGGACCUGCGUAAAUUUUUUUCACAAGAAUGCCAGGUUAUAUUCGUAAUUACAUUGGAGAUAUACAUACGGGUGUAUUGCAGUGUUGGGUCGAGGCAGGGUUGGCAGCCACGCCUCGCUUAUUCUUCCUGAAAACCUCUGUCAUUCCACCAGCUGGCUCCAUCGACGUGCCUCGUCCAACUCCUCUCCACCCACAAUGGCCUGUAUAUAUUUCUAAUUAAAGGCCGCCGCGUUCUUCCUCCAUCUUCCCCGCCAUCAAGAUGCAACGAGUCGCCUCUAGCCGGAAGGAAUAAAUGUAAAAAGUUGGAAGAGAAAUUUUUCAUUCAUCGGAUCUUCCUCGAAGCGGAACUCUCGUGUACUAUUAUGAGGAGAAAGUUGUGCAGGAUAUUUUUCUUUUCUUUUUUUUUAAAUAAACGUAUCGAUAAAGGAAGAAUCGUGGUGUGGAAAGGGGGACAAAGGCGAAUGAAAGAUAAUGAAGAGAUAUUUUUUAAAUGUUUUGAAUAUUUCUAAGAUAGGGAAUACGAAUAGAGUAAUUGGAUCGAAAUUUUUGUUUCAACGAUCGAAGAAUGAAUAUAUAUAAAGGGACGAAUAUAUUAACGCUUUAAGUAAGUACAGUAAAAGCCACAUCGAUCGUUGGAAAUGGAACUCAGUUUUCCAAAGCACGAUUAAUCUCGAUAGAAAUAUAAAAUUCCAUAAAAUUAAUCGAGCAAAUUGAAAAUAGAAACUUUUCGCGUCGUGUUUAACUCUAAUCUUAUCUCAUCGACCAAGAAAUUGAUCCAUCAAAUCGAGAGAGAAUUUUCAGCAAUCAACACGGUUACGAACACGGUUUCAACGAGGAAAAUAACGAAAAAAGAUUUUCCUCGAAUAUGAUCCGAUAAUUUUAGAAAACUUUUAUCCGGGCGGAUAAUAAUGCGGCAACCGCAAUGAAAUAUCAAACAGAGAGAGCUCGUUUGCAUGACUUCGGUGCACGAAUCACAGGCGAUAUUAAAUCGCAUGAAUAUUUAAAAAAUAUUCCCUCCUCCACGCCCGUCAUGGAAACUCCUCUCUUUUACGUUAUUAUCCACUUUUUGGCUUCAUUAUAAACGCGCUUUUUAAUCGGCCUAAACUGUCCUCCUCCUCCUCCUCCUCCCCAAACUUCCUUCUCCGCGUGGCUUUCAGACGUGGCCAUUCCUUUCCAUUCUUUAAUCUUUUUCACUCGAGAAAACUUCUUCUUCGAUAAAACACCGUGGAUUAAUAAUUCAUCCAGUUCAACACUUUUCCCCCCUUUUUUUUAUCUCGAUCGUUUUGCAUUAAUUCGAUCCACGUUUCAAGACAGAUUGUCCGGAAUCCGAGUCGAAAUUAAUAAACAAGUAUUUCUAUAUAUUUAUGCAGAUAGAUAGGAUUUUCUGUCUGAAUUGAAAUCAUUGCACGAUAUCCAUACCGUCUCGUUAAAUAUACACAGACGAUUAACAUGGAUGGAUAAUUACAUUAAAUUUUUACUCGCCAUUUUAUUAUUUCAGCUCCCCUUUCUCCAGUUCAUAUAUCGAAAUAUUAUAAUAUUUUGAUAGGAAUACGAAAAUAAAUUGUGUAAAUGAUUAAAAUAAAAACAUUUAUUACUCCUCUAUUACAAAUUUGUGAAUCUUUCCAAUUUCAGAGAUACACUCUUUUUAUUACUUCCAUUUAUUUUUAUUCCCUCCCCGAUAUUCGUGAAAAAUCUCCUCUCCCCGAACCUCUUCAUUCUCGCGCCGAUCAUUAAACCGUCUCGCUCGAAACGAAGAGGGAAAAAAAAUAACAAUCGUAUCGUAUUAUCAUAAUUCGCCGAUAGAUAAUCGAUUCCUUCCCUCCCCCGCACGAAAGAAAGUAGAAAAAGAAGGAUGGAAACGAUUUUACGACACGGAGAAAGAUCCCUUUUCCCGCCGCACGUGGGCUCCCCUAUUAAUGCCCCUCCCUUCCCUCUGUUUAACGGAACCAAAAAACAAACGGCGGGCCGGUUCGAACGCGACAAGCAUCGAUGAUUAUCUCUCUGUUUUAUGGAAGCUGGCGAAUCGAACUAGGCAACGCAUUAAACCGGCCGCCGGUUUAAUAUUUAUACGUUUGCAACAGGUGAGAAGCGUGGUCGUCGGUUGGGCUCGUACGGGGGCGCAAUUAAACGAGAAGAGAGAGAGAGAGAGAGGGAAAGGAAAAAAGGGAGGAGAGAGAGAGAGAGAAGGACGAACGAAGAGGAUAAACGAGGGGUCGAGUCGAGCUACUUAUAGUCCACGCCCUUUCGUGCGGUGGUUCUGGAAACGCGAGCCCGAAUUUUUAAGGUAAGGUAGUUUAAAAGUGAAAGUUAGAAGAGCGGGGUCUCCUAGGCGGGGCCGAAACAAUAUUUUUAAACGGUGCCCGAACGCCUUUCGUUUCGUUUCGUUGCGCCUUCGUGGAAACGGAAACGUAAAACGAGGGAUCCUCCCCCCUCGUUUAGUUUGGUUUAGUUUUGGCGCACAAUUAAUUUCCUCGACAAUUGAGGCUGAUAUCGGUAAGUGGCAUUAUUGUUAUUCUUUUUCUUCUUCUUUGUAGCAGGGGAGAAAAGAAAAUUCUUUUUUUGGAUUAUUUGACUCGUGGGGGGAUUUAUAAUUGGAUUAAAUGUACCUUGGAAUGGAAGUUACAGGAACAACGGCGGGUAUUAAUCGGGUUGAAGAAGGAAACGAUGUCUUCCACGGUUAAAUGUACCGGAAAGGAGGGUAAUUAAAGUUUCACGAUAGAGGCAGGUAUCCCCCCCCAUAUCGUUUCUAAUCUUCGGAUCUUCCAGUUCGGACCAAGUUCGAGCGCCUAAGCUAACAUAUCCUAUUCUAUCUGCGAUAGGCAGACAUAAUAGGGCGGGGGAUCGAGAACGUAUCGGCAGCCGAUGGAAAAUCUCGGCCUCAGGAUGACGUCGUUUCAAAUCAAACUAAUUGUGGUGGCCGAUACCACCGCCACCGAUAGAGAGGCAGAGGAUUGUAAUUGCGAGCAAAAUUAAAUAUGCAACGUGAACGAUGCCAAAUGGCCCGGAUACGCACCGAACAUUUAUUGACUCGCCGAUAUUAAUAGCUGAUGAAGGGGAUACACUCGGCUAAGUGAGAUCGAACGAAAUAUCGUCGCUCGUAACGUAACAAAGGAUCUUCAUCUAUAUUCACGAAAGAGGGGAAAUUGAGAAAAAAAUUUUUCGAAAAUUCGAGGAAAUUCGACGACGAUUAUAAGACGAGGAUAUUUAUAGAAUACGAUGGUCAAAAGAAAUUGUAUCUCGUGCUGUUCAGUUAGCUUCGGAUAUUUAAUCACAAAGCUAAUAUACUAACGUAAUAAAUAAUUAAAUUCGAA